UGUGGGUAUAUAUAUUGCACAAUGGGCGAAAGCCUGAUGCAGCAGCGCCGCGUGAGCGAUGAAGGCCUUGUGGUCGUAAAGCUCUGUCUCAAUGGAAGAUGAUGACGGUACUUGAGGAGGAGCCCCGGCUAACUACGUGCCAGCAGCCCCGGUAUUAA
rnacentral:rRNA from 1 species